rnacentral:rRNA from 1 species
UACGGGGGGAGCAAGCGUUGUUCGGAUUUACUGGGCGUAAAGGGCGCGUAGGCGGCACCGCAAGUCAGUUGUGAAAUCUCUGGGCUUAACCCAGAAAGGUCAACUGAUACUGCGGGGCUAGAGUGCAGAAGGGGCAACUGGAAUUCUCGGUGUAGCGGUGAAAUGCGUAGAUAUCGGGAAGAACACCCGUGGCGAAGGCGGCUCUCUGGAACGCAACUGACGCUGAGACGCGAAAGCGUGGGGAGCAAACAGG